rnacentral:lncRNA from 1 species
UCCGUUUUCUCCCGGCCUCAAGUAACCUCACUUUACACUGAAGACGUGUGGGAGUUUUCAGAAGGAAAGGGAAGGGUGUUCCGGGUGGAAGGAACAGCGUCCGUGAAGGCGCAGAGGGAGAAUGGUCCAACAUCUCCUCCUGGAACCUCGCCUGGGGCCGCCGUCCUCCAGAGCGUGGAGGUCAAGGCCCUUUCUCUGAGGCGGAGGCUUGGCGGGUCCUCAGUCUUCGGGAUGGGUUUGCGCAGCAGUCCCGCAGAGUGGUUAGCGCUCGCACAGUAAAUGUGCGUGGUCCACAGAAGAGAGGUCCCCCCAGGGCUGAGCAGUGGCCCCGGGGAAGCUCCGAGCCCCUUCUAGGCGCUGACACGCACUGCUGAUGACUUUUCUGUUGACAUAUGGCAUUCUAGCCAACUAGUUGUUACAAUUACCAGUCACAGAGAUAACGGACUAGUUGUUGCAAUCACAGGUCACGGAGAUUUAAGUCUGGAAGCGACUUUCCAGGACCUCUAGCCCAGCGCUCUCAAUAACCAGCACGACGGGAUGUUAGGUGCUCCUUAGCGAUGCUGCUCCAAGGUCUUUGGGCUCACGACCUGCCCUUUGCUCUGCGCCUGACCUCAGAGGGGGCCGUAGUGGGACGGUCACUGUGGUCACAAGAGAAGGUGGUCCUGUGGAUGGUGGGCGUGUUGGCCUUUACGGAGCCCAGAGCCAUGGAAAGGGCACCCUGGGGCUGGCAGAAUUCAGGGUGAUCUGGCUGAAGAUUCAGAGGUACCUGUUGGUUUAUGGGGAAACCGAUCACAUCCACUCGGGGGCCAUCGACGCCCACGACCUGAGGGUGGCCCUCAGGAAAGCAGCGGUGGCCACGAUGUGCGGCUGGACGGGUGCCAGGGCCACGGGCCUAGUUCAGUGCCAGGCUCGUCCUGAGGCGGGGCGGCUCCCAGGAUUGCCAUGGGGUGACAAUAAGACCUUGGAGGAGGCUGGCCGUGUCAACCAGAGCCCCACCCUGCCGUGA